rnacentral:rRNA from 1 species
GACGAACGCUGGCGGCGUGCCUAAUACAUGCAAGUAGAACGCACAGUUUAUACCGUAGCUUGCUACACCAUAGACUGUGAGUUGCGAACGGGUGAGUAACGCGUAGGUAACCUGCCUGGUAGCGGGGGAUAACUAUUGGAAACGAUAGCUAAUACCACAUAAUAUUAAUUAUUGCAUGAUAAUUAAUUGAAAGGUGCAAUUGCACCACUACCAGAUGGACCUGCGUUGUAUUAGCUAGUAGGUGAGGUAACGGCUCACCUAGGCGACGAUACAUAGCCGACCUGAGAGGGUGAUCGGCCACACUGGGACUGAGACACGGCCCAGACUCCUACGGGAGGCAGCAGUAGGGAAUCUUCGGCAAUGGACGAAAGUCUGACCGAGCAACGCCGCGUGAGUGAAGAAGGUUUUCGGAUCGUAAAGCUCUGUUGUAAGAGAAGAACGGGUGUGAGAGUGGAAAGUUCACACUGUGACGGUAUCUUACCAGAAAGGGACGGCUAACUACGUG